ACUGGUGAGUGAUCGCGGUUGAUAAAAACAGAUUCCCGCUUAAUUGGUUGUUUUUAUUUGAAAACGAAAAAAAGAACAAAACAUCCCUCCGACUCCCCCGUUUGAGAUCCAAACGCAACUUUCAAAUUUUUGGCUCGGCUCCGCCAAAACACCUUUCCCAUCCCUCACUUCUUCUGGUCUCAUCUCGUUUGCCAUCUUCAUCUAUGGCUUCUUCAGAUCCUAUCCCUUCCCGUCAUUGCACUUACAACCGCAAGCAAAAAUCCCUCGGCCUUCUCUGCACCAAUUUUUUGAGUUUAUACGAUCGAGGGUCUGUUCAUCUGAUCGGCCUCGACGAUGCUGCCAUCCGAUUAGGCGUUGAGAGGAGGCGGAUCUAUGACAUUGUUAAUGUCCUCGAGAGUAUUGGGUUGCUAUCAAGGAAGGCGAAAAAUCAGUAUAUUUGGAGAGGUUUUGUCGCAAUUCCUCACACUCUUCAGGAGCUCAAGGAAGAGGGGUUGAAGGAUAAUUCCAAUUUCUUGCGUGGUUCUGGAAACGACAACGACAAAGUGUCCGACGACGAAGAUGACGAGGAAACACUGUCUAAUCCCGCUACUGGAAGUCAAAGCGACAAGUUGAACCCUAAUUCUUCUACUCUUACUAAAUCUCUGAAAAAUGAAAAUCGAAGGGAAAAAUCUCUUGCUCUGCUUACCCAGAAUUUUGUUAAGCUCUUUGUCUGCUCUAAUGUGGAGUUGAUCUCCCUUGACGAGGCUGCAAAAUUGUUACUUGGGGAUGCCCAUAAUACUUCUGUAAUGAGAACCAAAGUUAGACGCCUAUAUGACAUCGCAAAUGUGCUAUCCUCCAUGAAUCUUAUUGAGAAGACCCAUACGACAGAUACAAGAAAACCAGCAUUCCGGUGGCUGGGUUCUGAAGGGAAGACAUGGAAUGAGACACUUCACAAAUCAAACCUGAACGAGUCUAGGAAAAGGGCUUUUGGAAGUGAUAUCACAAACAUCAGUUUUGAGAGGAAUAACGUGGAAUUGUUCACGAAUGGCGACUCAAAUCCGAAUCCUAAGAAGCCAAGAAUGGAAUAUGGCAGUGGGCUGGGUCAGGCAGAUGAAAACAAUUUAAAACAAGGCACAAAACAAGCUUCAAAGAACUAUCAAUUUGGUCCUUUCGCUCCGGCUUGUGUGCCCAAAGUUGGAGCCUCUGAGAAUAAUAAUCUGAAGCAGGUGCAUGGCUGGGACAGUCUUGCAACUGCAAAUAGCCCUCAGUAUCAAAAUGAAGCUGAGGGAUAGGUCAGCUUCCUCCAACCGUUAUCCUACGUAAAAAACUGGUUCUUAAACAUACGAACCUCGUAAGAACUGGCGUUGGAGCCUUGAGAGAACUGUACUCGCAUUACAUGGAAGCAUGGAAAUCGUGGUACUCAGAAAUUGCUGGGAAGAGGUCAUUACAAAUUUUGUAAAUGUCUGCCAGUCGAACAUGUUUAGGAAGAUGGAGGAUGAAGGAGAAGGAGGUAGGUGAAUGGCUGGUGCCAUGACGACUCAAAAGGAGAUUCUCAAUUUUUGAUUUUUUUUCUUUAAUUGAAUUUGGUGGUUUCUAAUUAUCAAGGAAUUGUAAUUUUAAGUUUGAAACAAA